rnacentral:rRNA from 1 species
AUUGAACGCUGGCGGCAGGCCUAACACAUGCAAGUCGAGCGGAGCGGCGGACGGGUGCGUAAUGACUAGUAAUCUGCCUGGUAGUGAGGGAUAACGUCCGGAACGGGGCGCUAAUACCGCAUACUAUCAGAUCAGCCUCGGUCGGAUUAGCUAGUUGGUGGGGUAAAGUCCUACCAAGGCGACGAUCCGUAACUGGUCUGAGAGGAUGAUCAGUCACACUGGAACGGAGACACGGUCCAGACUCCUACGUGAGGCAGCAGUGGGGAAGAUUCGACAAUGGGCGAAAGCCUGAUCCAGCCAUGCCGCGUGAGUGAAGAAGGUCUUCGGAUUGUAAAGCACUGUCAGAGGGGAGGCGGUACCCGCAGAAGAAGCACCGGCUAACUCCGUGACAGCAGCCGCGGUAAUAC